UGAGGAGGUGUGACUAUAUCGAGUAUAAAUAACGAAUGAAGAUCCACCUCAAAUAAACUGCACUAAACUGCUCUGAACCUUAAACAAAUCAUCAGAAUGAUCUUAUCUGAGGGGAGUGAUGAGGAGGAUGACGACGAUGAUGAAGAAGAUGAUGGAGGUGCUGGAGUAAGUGUUUGCUGCCAAGGGUAAACUACUGCUCCAGACCUUGAUGCAGCUAGUGUUGAGAAAGACCCAAUAGCACGCUGGAUCAAACCAAACUGUGUGCAAUUGCUGAUACAAGCAGCAGCAGCCAAAGCAAUCACACAGGUUUAGUUGUGACAAACGUCACAACCCAAGUAUCUCCCACGCCAUGUGUGUCCAUGGCAAACUUGACACGUAGACAAUGACUCCUCCAUGGAAAACGAUGGAACUCGCAACUUUUCCGCUGUGCAGUGGCAGCACCGUCGCCUUUCUUCAGAACGGCUCUGCUUUCCUGUCUGUUUGUGCAACCGUGAAGAAACCGUGGAGAGAAGAACGAAAUGUUCAUGGAGAGGUGAUCCCUCAUGAGAGCUGCUGGUCCAGAGGUUGGAAGAUGUGAGCCAGUUUUUACUGGGAUCACAAUCAUCCUCAAUCACUAUUGUGCCAUCGAGCAACGCACAUGACUCCAACGCAGGACUGACUUUCUGCAAAAUGUCUACUGUAGUCAACAAUCCAUUAAAAUACAAACAGAGAAUGGGCUGGAUGGGCAUUUUGUUGAUGCACUAAUGGAUGCAUGUUGCUCACAUAUUUUCAGGGAGGUCUCGCCCUUUUGAAGCCCAAGUGUAUUUGUUGUAAUGAUGUAUUCAGACUAUGGCUGCUUGGUCCAAAUAGCUCUCCAGUAAAACUAGCAGAAGGUUUCUGGAGCAGCGGAUCAGGGUUAGAGGUAAAAGCCCACUGUUUUUUUUUUGUUCUUUCCUUUUUUUCUGUUCUUUUACCUCAUUUUGAUGUGAAGUCAACGCCGCUCAGCCAUAGAGAGCGUGAUCAGAGCGAGAUGACAUGUUCACCAGAAUAGGUUUCACAGGCACACCGGUUCUGCAGGUUGUGCUGAUUUGGUUGAAGCCACUGGUUCAGAUAUCUUACUAACAAUAAACAAUAUGACACACUGCUGAAUUUCACGCACAGUUGUUAUCGCAGUGAUGUUGAACAAAAGUUACACAACACAGGUAACGUACCUGUAAUGAGACAUGAUCUCUUACAGAACAAGGUCCCUAGCAAAGGACCUAUUAAGAUCUAGCAAGAAAUGAAGCCCAAUAGAUGCGACACAACAUCAAAGGACAUCAUAUCAUAUUGAGCACUCAUUGUUUUCUUGGUUAUGUGGCGAGGGGAUCGUUAGAAAGUGAUCUGUUUAGUUUAUAAAUUAUGUUCAUAGAAAUGUCAUGAAUGCAGAUGGAUUCCUGUGCAUUUGUCUGCCUAAAUGUAUUGUUUUCUAAUGAGCUACAAGGUAACUCCCCCUAAAUAAAGUAAUGUUGUGAAAAACA